rnacentral:misc_RNA from 1 species
AAGGCUGUAUAAGAUAUCAACAACUUCGAAUGAAUCUAACUGGAGUAGCUGUUGUUGCGGGUCACCGUCGCUGUUGCUUGCGGCAGCGGUGGAGUAGUUGAUUAAGGGGCAAAGUGAAGAUGAGAAGGAUUUGGAAUUGAAGAGAACAACUCCAAUGGUGAUGGGUUUAGGGGUCAGGAGUUUUCUAUUAAAAUUAACGACUGACCUGGAAGACGAAACCCA